GCCUGGCCGUGGGAGGAAGGGGACAGCCCGCCGUCCCCAGCCCACGCGGGCCCGGAGGAGCAGCUCCGAACCCCGGCCUGCACGUCUGGGAAGGAAGGCUGGGGCGGAGUCACAAACAGUGCCGUGGGGUGUGUCAUCGAAGCCGCCUUUGUGGCAAAACACGGGCCGGGGAGGCCCGGGGCCGGACCAAGGCUUGGGUUGCUCGGUGGCCUUCGGGGACAGGAAAUUCUAAGGGGAGUCCGCGGAGUCUUUCUGUUGUAGGCAAACCGCCGAGCCUCCCCUCCCUCUGCCUUUGCCUCUGCCCUCCCUCCACCAGUAUAACACGCAUAACCCAGAUUUACCGCCCUACCCGUUUCUAAGCACGCAGCUCCGUGUGGCAUUAAGCACCUUCACCUCUGUUGUGCCGCCGUCCCCCAUCCGCGACCAGAACUUUCCGUCUUCCGAAACGAAACUCCGUCCCAUUAAAACACUACCCCCCCACCCCCUCCCCCAGCCCCGACGCCCACUGUCUGCUUUCUGUCUUUAUGAAUGUGAGUCCGUGAGGUCCCCGUACGAGUGAAAUCCCGCAGGAUCUGACCUUCUGUGACCGGCCUGUGUCAAUCAGCAUCACGUCCCCAAGGUCCACCCACGCCGUAACGGGUGUCAGAACGCCCUUCCUUUUUAAGGCUCAGUGCUGUUCCCUGGCAUGGGUGGACCACUUGGGCUAUUUUCUCAAGACACAAGUUUAUGGCAUAACAACACUGGAAACACAGCUGUGUCUUUCUACAAGCCAAUAAAACACAAGCACUGGCAGCAA